rnacentral:misc_RNA from 1 species
UAAUAAGUGUUUAUGGCACUUCUUAAAUCCAUAUCCACCUUGUGUGCAAUGUCAGCCGUUUUCUUUAUGAAAGCGGCCAAACAUCAACUUAUUUUCUAACUGUCUGUCUGAAAACUAUUAUGAAUAAACAAUUCAAAUA